GACGAACGCUGGCGGCGUGCUUAACACAUGCAAGUCGAACGGUGAAGCGCCUUCCUUUUUGGUGGGUGUGGAUGAGUGGCGAACGGGUGAGUAACACGUGAGUAACCUGCCCCCUUCUUCUGGAUAACCGCAUGAAAGUGUGGCUAAUACGGGAUAUUCUGGGUCUGUCGCAUGAUGGGUCUGGGAAAGAUAUUGUUUCGGUGGGGGAUGGGCUCGCGGCCUAUCAGCUUGUUGGUGGGGUGAUGGCCUACCAAGGCGGUGACGGGUAGCCGGCCUGAGAGGGUGGACGGUCACGCUGGGACUGAGACACGGCCCAGACUCCUACGGGAGGCAGCAGUGGGGAAUAUUGCACAAUGGGCGCAAGCCUGAUGCAGCGACGCCGCGUGAGGGAUGGAGGCCUUCGGGUUGUGAACCUCUUUCGCCGGUGAAGCAGGCCUGCCUCGUUUGUGGGUGGGUUGACGGUAGCUGGAUAAGAAGCGCCGGCUAACUACGUG
rnacentral:rRNA from 1 species